GUGACAAUUUUCCGUAAGCAAAAAAAAAAGACUGGCAAUAGAUGUUAGUUUAGGGCCAAUCUUCCUCACAAAAAAAAAGACAAAUGAGAUAAAAUAUUAACAUUUGGGAAAUCCUGGUAAAAGGUCUACAGGAAUUCUUUGUACUAUUCUAGCCACUUUAAGUUUGAAAUAAUUUCAAAAUAAAAAGUUUUAAAAGUAUAUAUAUAUAGUAUGGUCCUAAUUUUAUAAAAUGAUUUAUUUACAUACAUAUACUUAAAAGUUAUGGAAGAAAUUACCCUACGACAUAGUUAUCUCUGGGUAACAAGCUUUUUGAUUUAUUUACUACUUCUCUACAUUCUCUAAACAAGCACAUUCUAAAUAAUGAAAAAAACAAAAAUGGUAUUUUGGAACUAAUCAUCCUUUAACUUAUCUGCCUGAAUUUUGUGUUCUGAAUUGUAGAUGUGAGAUCUCCUUUUGCCAUCACCAUUUGUAUUUAAAAACCAGAACAGAUGAUGCACAAGUUACACAAGCACACACGAAACAACUAUAGCAAAACUAAAAAUCUCCUCUAAGAAGUCCUACUCUGUGUAUUCCACGUGACUUCCAUGAGCAGCACGUGUGCGUGGGGUGAGAUGGAGAAUGCACGGAGAAGACAGCACAACCAGAGUGACGACGCCCCACAAGGAGGACAAGUUCUAAUGACGCAGAUCAGAUAUGUGGAAAGAGCAGGAGACAGCAAGGCUAAGAGAAACUGCAGAAGCCAUUUUUCAACCACUAAUCAAACACCACUCCACAUUUGUACUGCUUAAUUAAGAAAAAAAGGAGUUUUAACUCUAAAACAGCAUUUUAUAUUGGAGAAAAAACCAAUCACUUGGAUCUAAGUGCUUUUCUGCAUCAAAUUGCUUUUUUUCACCUAUUUUUCCUUACUAUAUGAGCUUAAUUCACAGAAACACAGAGAUGUUCCCCAAAGGGUAAAAGAAAGAUUUCUUCGGGCUACAGUUUAUUGAGAACGUUCAGUGUGUAUUUCCACCCAGAUACCAUAUUUAAUUUAUAUUUGCCUCAUUUAUGUCUAACAACCCUUAAGUGGGUGGGAUCAAUUACAAAGAGGGGAACUGAAGCUGAAUUAAUGUCACAAGCUCAAGGUCACCCACAUGUAACAGACACUUCACUGUUCUCUUGGUUUGUACCUAAGCCAUAAUGUUGGCAGUCUUUUAUUUAAACUUGUAUUUUAUACCUUCCAUGAAAUAAACAUUUACAAACUGUGAAAUAUCAAGAAAUGCGUAUCUGGAUAAAGAUGAGACACUUCAGAGUGAAGCACACGUGGAUUUUGUUUCUUUUAUACAAUCAUCACCCAUAAAGGUGAUGUUCUAAGCAGUGGUUCUCUCUGGGUAGCAUUUACCAAUUUUUCUCUUCUGCAUUUUUCCACAUUUUCAUAAAUGAAUAUGAUUCAUUUUUUAAGAAAAUAAAAUACCAAAAAUCUAGUGACACAUAUGAAUAUUACAUCUUUUGCAGGAACCAUCCUUUAAAUUAAUAUAAAUUAAAGGCUACCACUAAGAGCAUGUUGUGUCACCAAUGCUUCAGCAUUUUCAGGACUCUUAACUUGCAUAAAAGCCAUUAAAGCAGACCAAACUUAAGAGUAAAAGAUAAAUGUAUUACAUAAAAAAUAAGUCAACUAAAGAAUUUAAAGAACGCUUGAUAGAGACAAAUCUAAUGGAAAACAGCAAUUAUGAUGACGUAGUAAAUGUUCUCAUCUGUUCUCCAGAGCCACACCUUUACAGCUACGGCCUCCAUCUGAUCACUCCUUUGUGACUAGCCUCGGAGUAAAAUGCAAAGCUUUACCAACAGUUUUUCUGACACACAAUUUUGUGUUUUUCUAAUAACAAAAAAUAUUCCACAACUAAAUAAACAAAACAAAAACCCCAUCUACUUCCCCAUCUACUUUGAUUAUUUUAUGUGCUUUACAUGUAACUCUUCAAAGCAAAAGGGACAGCAAACUGAAAUGUGAGUCAUCAGACAAGGAUUUUUCAUUAACACUUCCCCCAACUAUUCUAGAGGAAAGGAUACAUAAUGGAUAAACAAUGAGAAACUCCGUUUAAAACCAUAAGGAAGAACUACAUGAAGUUAUUUGUACUGGCCAAAGGUGUUCAAACUUGAAACCUUAGGAAAGGGUCAAGCUGUUGCCCUUCUGGCCUAAGUGUGUGUGUUUUCCUUUCCCGGUGGUGUUGGCUCCACAGCCCCAGCAUUCCGAGCUCAUCUAGGCAGUGCGCUCACAGACAAAGGCGGAAGCUCCUGCAUGCAGGUCCACUGCCAUGGAAUCAGCACGUCUACCCAGCUGAAGGCCAGCACCCAGGCCUCAGGAACUUUCUAUUGGAAAGACUUGCAACCAAGGAGGAUCACAAAGAGUCCACUCAACAGUUCUUCUAAAUGUAUCUUGUAGCCAUCAUGUUUCUUUUGUCUUAAGAGAAGACACUAUACACUCACAGUCAGAUUUUUAGAAGAAUCUGUUUAUCAAGAAAAGCUCGGCUUAGCUGUAGCAUCUGGUUUAAAGUGAGAUUCUGGCUUUUUAUCCAAGUUUCCUACUAAGCUGCCCAGGACUUAAGGAGAUAAAAUGAACUAUGGUCACACGUGUGUAUUUCAACCACACGUUGAGGAGAAACCACAAACUUUCUGGCUUAUUAUUCUACUGCAAAUAGUGAAUAAGUACUCAAAAGAAAUUAAUAAGGAUACUCUAAAGCAGAAGUUCUCCAGGUGUGGGCCCCAGACCAGCAGCCUCACCAUCACCUGGAAACUUUUGUUAGAAAUGCAAAUUUUGGGCUUCCCUGCAGACCUACUGAGCCAGAAACGGUGGGAAGGGGACCCGACAAGUUCUCCAAGUGAUUCUAAUGCAAGAUCGAUUUUGAGAACCACCGAGCAUGAAGUUUCUGCCCAAGUAAGAAAUCUAUUCAUGGUUAAAGGAAUUACAAUUUUUUUCACAAACAACCUUAGAAGUGAUUUUAAUGUAACAUUUUAAGUGAAAUACCUCUGACAUAUACUUGGAGUUAGAACAUUAAUAUUCUGCACAUUAAAUUCUUUAAAAUUUAGAACUUCACAGUUUCUCCUCAGAACUCUUACCCAUCAUUUAUAUAUUUGUCUUAGUUGCACAUGCAGCAUGGAGAGAAAACAAAAGAAGUUAUGAGAUGAAAACUGUACAGCACUUUGGAAAAAAAUAAAGAUGGGAGAGAAAAAGAAUGUCUACAGGAAAAUGCACCAUGUUUCACUAAAUCUCAUAUGCCAUUAAUGUACACCAAUUUAUGUACUAUUAAGAAAAGAAAAACUCA